ACUAGGGAUCCCUGCCUACCUGAGGUCUUCAAGGGUGUUACACUGGCCCCCUAUGCAUUGCUGGUUUGUCUAUCAAGUAAGGAUUUUGUUGAGCAGACGCACAUAUAAAUUGUUAUGAGGUGCAGCUGUCCAUGUGCUGGUAGUGUAAACAGCUCUGCAGACAUCAAGGUCAAUGAAGAAGUAGGAAGAAUGGAGACGAUCCUGGCACUGGAGCAGUUUCUUCUGCAGCAGGUGGAUGACACAACAUGGCAGAGGACACAACAUGGAGGACUGCAGCUUGUGGAGAAUUACUUUGAAUCAAGGGAUGAAUGUGAGGAGAGAGGAGUGGUUUUUCCAGGAUUUCACAUUGUCAUCUCCUGGAUCUCAAUUUGUGAGAAGUUACACAUCUCUGCCGUAAGAAAUGUCUUCACAUACAGGUACAACAGGAGAAAAACAGUAGACCCUAACCAGACAAACAUCACUUAUUAGACUUUUCCAUUUUUUGUCAAAUGAAUGGUUGAGAACUAUAAUUUUUCUUCCUCUGAUCUAAAUAACAUUAGUAUCUUGAAUAAUCUGUGGCACAUCCUAAAUGUGUGGAACAGUGCAGUAGAUUUGUGUGUGUGUGUGUGUAUUAGAGGAGAAAUAAGAACUAGCUACUAUAAUUGUGAAUUGAGAGGAAACAUGAAUUUGUGAUGCAGUUCAUGAACAAUAGCUUCUUCCAAGCUAUCAUUCGAUAUUUGUUGUAUAUGAUUCAUUCUUGUAAUAGAAAGCUUAAUUUUCCCAAUGAAACCUGACAGUUUUCUUGGACUAGAUUCAAAGGUGAUAUAUCUGCUGAGAAUAUAGAUUGAUGUUUCUCUGGCAGUGUUACAUAUGACAUUUUCUGUUGAUCUGAGAAGAGAAGAUAGAAACAAGACCACAACUUUAUGAAAAGCCCAUAGAUUUUUUUGUAGAAAAUGAAAGAAAUUUCAGCCUGACCUUUGGUGGGAAAAGAGACACCACUUCAGAGCAUCUAGCCAAGUAAACAACCUGACACUUCUGCAAUAAUGUAUACACUUUGCAGUUUGAACAGUUGCUUGAUGUUUAAAUUGAUCAUAUGACAACAAAAUGUCAGGAUACUGUUCAUAGGCAUACAGAUGAUUCUGUACAAAAAAAUUAUUAGGAAUAUUUAAGAAUGCAAAGAAAUUCAGGAAGGGUAGAUGCCUAUUGUGCUUGCAUAUCAGAAAGCUGUUGAGCUGUUGCGUAUGUAGAUACCUGACGUGUAUAAAGCAAUAGGAUGUGAGUGGUUCAAAGAAAAAAAGCAAGUAGAAUCAUGUUAUCAUUAAAGAAAAGAAUUUUCAUUCUGCUGUUUAAUAAUUCUAAUUAUGUGCUUUAUUUCCCACUGAAAAUAAAAAGCAAGUACAGAAUGCAAUGCAAGAAAUAUAGGAUUCAGAUGAAGAAAAAAAGUUCAGUAACAUUUUUGCAGGUACAUUUCUGUGCUCAGUUUUGUUUGCCAUCGAUCUACCAUUUCCAUUACUGCUUAUCUAACUAAACCUAUGUCAAAACAAAUUAUAGAUUCUGUUUGAACGAGGUCUUGUAAAUUCCUUUCCGCACAAACAGUAGAAACUAUUGAAAUCUAUAAUAUGUGUGUAUAGAAAUUAAUGGCUAGAAACAGUAUUUA
ensembl:lncRNA